GAGGGGUGGCCGAGUGGACGAAGGCACCUGUCUUGAAAACAGGCAUACGUUAACCGCGUAUCGUGGGUUCGAAUCCCACCCCCUCC
rnacentral:tRNA from 1 species